AUGGCAUUCAGCUGCUCCAGCUGCUGUUGGAAUCGCACUUCGGGACUCUGCGCUUGAGAGCUUCCUCCGGCCAGCAGCUGGAUCAUCUGCUGCAUGAGCUGCUGUUGGGGGUUACCACCCCCGGCUGGAGAGGCACUGGCCGGCGUCGAAGCAGAGGGAACGGGGUUCUCCGGGAUUGUGCUUCCUCCUGUGGAGGACGGGGGCAUUCGAGGCAUGCCAAAGGAGCCGAGGCUUGGCACGAGUCCUGGGGCCUCUGUUUGCAGCGUCUGUAGUCCCUGCUGGAUCUGGAGGAGCGCCUGCAUGGCGCGGGGGUUGGUGAGAAUGGACAGGGAGUCUGGGUUCUGCAUCUGCUGCAGGAAGACUGGGAGCUGAAGGCGGAGCUGUU
rnacentral:lncRNA from 1 species